CAGUCGCCGCGGGAAUACAGAGGGUGCAAGCGUUAAUCGGAAUUACUGGGCGUAAAGCGCGCGUAGGUGGUUUGUUAAGUUGGAUGUGAAAUCCCCGGGCUUAACCUGGGAACUGCAUCCAAAACUGGCAAGCUAGAGUAUGGUAGAGGGUGGUGGAAUUUCCUGUGUAGCGGUGAAAUGCGUAGAUAUAGGAAGGAACACCAGUGGCGAAGGCGACCACCUGGACUGAUACUGACACUGAGGUGCGAAAGCGUGGGGAGCAAACAGGAUUAGAUACCCGCGUAGUCCCUGUCUCUUAUAA
rnacentral:rRNA from 1 species